rnacentral:rRNA from 1 species
UAGUGACAAGAAAUACCAAUACGGGGCUAUCUGCUCUGUAAUUGGCAUGGGGGCGACCUUCACCCUCGCCCGAGUACCCAUUGGAGGGCAAGUCUGGUGCCAGCAGCCGCGGUAAUUCCAGCUCCAAUAGCGUAUAUUAAACUUGUUGCAGUUAAAAAGCUCGUAGUUGWAYUUCACGUCCCCCGCUWGGKCYUUUCCUYRCSGGGACGCCUCGUUACUUUGARAAAAUUARAGUGUUUCAAGCAGGUUUCGCCUGUAUAAUUGAGCAUGGAAUAACCUUGUAUGACCCUGUCGUACCGUUGGUUGACUUUGGGUAAUGGUUAAUAGGAACGGUUGGGGGCAUUCGUACUC